GACGAACGCUGGCGGCGUGCUUAACACAUGCAAGUCGAACGAAGUGGCGAACGGGUUAGUAAUACGUGGGUAACCUGCUCUCCUUUUUGGGAUAAGCCUUGGAAACGGGGACUAAUACCGAAUAAAGGGGGAUGGGCUCGCGGCCUAUCUGCUUGUGGGUGGGGUGAUGGCCUACCAAGGCGGUGACGGGUAGACAGCCUGAGAGGGUGAACUGCCACAUUGGGACGGAGAUACGGCCCAGACUCGUACGCGAGGGAGAAGAGGGGGAUAUGGCACAAUGGGCGAAAGCCUGAUGCAGCGACGACGCGGGGGGGAUGAAGGCUUUAGGGUUGUAAACCUCUUGAGCUAUCGGACGGGUAGGUGGAGAAGAAGCGCCGGCUAACUACGUGCCAGCAGCCGCGGUAAUUC
rnacentral:rRNA from 1 species